rnacentral:rRNA from 1 species
GAUGAACGCUGGCGGCGUGCCUAAUACAUGCAAGUCGAGCGAACGGACGAGAAGCUUGCUUCUCUGAUGUUAGCGGCGGACGGGUGAGUAACACGUGGAUAACCUACCUAUAAGACUGGGAUAACUUCGGGAAACCGGAGCUAAUACCGGAUAAUAUUUUGAACCGCAUGGUUCAAAAGUGAAAGACGGUCUUGCUGUCACUUAUAGAUGGAUCCGCGCUGCAUUAGCUAGUUGGUAAGGUAACGGCUUACCAAGGCAACGAUGCAUAGCCGACCUGAGAGGGUGAUCGGCCACACUGGAACUUAGACACGGUCCAGACUCCUACGGGAGGCAGCAGUAGGGAAUCUUCCGCAAUGGGCGAAAGCCUGACGGAGCAACGCCGCGUGAGUGAUGAAGGUCUUCGGAUCGUAAAACUCUGUUAUUAGGGAAGAACAUAUGUGUAAGUGACUGUGCACAUCUUGACGGUACCUAAUCAGAAAGCCACGGCUAACUACGUG